rnacentral:rRNA from 1 species
UACGAAGGGGGCUAGCGUUGUUCGGAUUUACUGGGCGUAAAGCGCACGUAGGCGGAUCGUUAAGUCGGGGGUGAAAUCCUGGAGCUCAACUCCAGAACUGCCUUCGAUACUGGCGAUCUUGAGUCCGGAAGAGGUGAGUGGAACUCCUAGUGUAGAGGUGGAAUUCGUAGAUAUUAGGAAGAACACCAGUGGCGAAGGCGGCUCACUGGCCCGUUACUGACGCUGAGGCGCGAAAGCGUGGGGAGCAAACAGG